rnacentral:rRNA from 1 species
AUUGAACGCUGGCGGAAUGCUUUACACAUGCAAGUCGAACGGUAGAGGGGGCAACCCCUCGAGAGUGGCGAACGGGGGAGUAAUAUAUCGGAACGUGCCAAGUCGUGGGGGAUAACGUAGCGAAAGUUACGCUAAUACCGCAUACGAUCUACGGAUGAAAGCGGGGGAUCGCAAUACCUCGCGCGAUUGGAGCGGCCGAAAUCAGAUUAGGUGGUUGGUGGGGUAAAGGCUCAACAAGCCAACGAUCUGUAGCUGGUAUGAGAGGACGACCAGCAACACUGGAACUGAGACACGGUACAGACUCCUACGGGAGGCAGCAGUGGGGAAUUUUGGACAAUGGACGCAAGUCUGAUCCAGCCAUUCCGCGUGCAGGAUGAAGGCCCUCGGGUUGUAAACUGCUUUUGUACGGAACGAAAAGGUUUCCAUUAAUACUGGGCGCUCAUGACGGUACCGUAAGAAUAAGCACCGGCUAACUACGUGCCAGCAGCCGCGGUAA